UCUAGGGAGAGUUGGGGCGCGAAAAGUCAGAACUCCGAAGUUAAGCGUGCUUGCGCAAGAGUAGUACUAGGGUGGGUGACCUCCUGGGAAGUCCUCGUGUUGCAUUCC
rnacentral:rRNA from 1 species